rnacentral:rRNA from 1 species
UACAGAGGGUGCGAGCGUUAAUCGGAUUUACUGGGCGUAAAGCGUGCGUAGGCGGCUAUCUAAGUCGGGUGUGAAAGCCCCGGGCUCAACCUGGGAAUUGCAUUCGAGACUGAAUAGCUAGGGUACGGUAGAGGGAAGUGGAAUUUCCGGUGUAGCGGUGAAAUGCGUAGAUAUCGGAAGGAACAUCAGUGGCGAAAGCGACUUCCUGGACCAGUACCGACGUUCAGGCACGAAAGCGUGGGGAGCAAACAGG